CAAACCUCAUCUCUUGAAACUGCUCCCCCACUCACGCACAAAUCCCGAACUUCCCACUCUCUCAUUCACGAACCAGCCCACACAUCAUCUCCUCUCAUAUAGUUCACGUCCAGCCCUCUUUCUAGGGAAUAUACGUCCAGCCCUCCUCUACAAUAUACGUCCAGCCCUCCUCUACAUUACACGCACAGCCUGCCUCUUUUAAUUCGCAAGAAUUCAAGGCAAAAGCUUUGGCUUCUCCGGCUCUCUGUCCUAACGAACCCCAGCCCCAUUUCAUGCAGCCGCUUGCUCUCUCUCCCGCUGAAUCUUCUCUCAAUUCACAAGAAAGCCCCAAGACCGAACCCCCUAGGAAGCUGUAGCCUUUCUCUCAAGCUCCUCUAAUUGACAACGAACUUCGCUGCUGUAAAGGUGACUCCUUUCCCUCCAUUUGAGUAGAAGAGAAUGCUGGAAGUUUUUUAGAAGAAUUUUUUUUGCAGGAACCUUGGAGAACUGCAAAUGCCAAAAAUUGAAAACUAUAUAGGCACUUGAAAUAUGAAAAAUUUCUGCCUUUUCAUCUUUUUACCUUUAUUUUGGGUAGGCGGGUGUAUGUUUGUCUCUAGUCAGUCUGAAAAGAUAAACGGGUUGGGUUGCAAGUCAAAUAAAUAUCCUCGCUUUCCACGUAAGCAUACCACGUAUAAGGAUUUUAUUGGCAUCCGAACAUAGCUCUAUGUCAGGAUUCCACACAUAAUAAUUUCUCUUCAAAUUAAGAAUAAAAAAGAGGGUGAUGUUAGAUUUUUCCACAAGAAAGAGAAGAAUUCUUCUUCUUCUUGUUGCUUCAAGCUCGAGCAAGAAAACGUGAGAUACUUCCCCUGCUAGUUUACUUUUCUUUUUGUUGAGUCAUGGCAUUGUAAGGCUUAGAGGCAAAUGGCCAUGGUAUCUAAAACUAUCAAAGUUUUAUUUAUUCAGUUAAUUCCAUUCUUUUUUUUUU